UCCCUGGAGCUGUUUCCUGCAGCUCUCCCUGCCUUGCUGCUCUCUCAACCCCACUGGGAUCCGACCAGCCUGGACCCCUCUCAUCCCUACUGCCCCCUGAAGGGAAUGAACGCCCCACAGGGGGGAUGCCACGCUCCUCUCCAGACUCCACAGGGCCACCCAAGCAACCAGCAGGCUAUCACACUGUGACAUAAUCAACAACCUUGGAAAAUAUUGAGGCAUGGAUUUGAAUAUAAGUGUGUUUAUGAAGCUGCUCUACCUGCUGAUUAAAUUUCAAGCUCGGAAUUCAGCCACAUGGAGAUACGGUUCUGAGCAGGAGGACCCUGAAGACAUACCUGUUUUCCCAGGACUUCAACUGAGAUUCAAUUUUUAAAUGUUAAUGUGUUUUUAUCUAUGAUUUUUAUCUUUUUAUGAAUUUUAAAUGUGAUAUAUUUUGUUUUAAUUCUGUACACUGCCUAGAGAUUUUUAUAAUAGGUGGUAUAUAAAUUCAAUAAAUAACAACAAUAACAAUAACAAAAUAAGGCAUU